CUGAACUUAAGCAUAUCAAUAAGCGGAGGAAAAGAAACCAACAGGGAUUGCCUCAGUAACGGCGAGUGAAGCGGCAAGAGCUCAAAUUUGAAAUCCCGCCUCGGGGGCCUGAGUUGUAAUUUGCAGAGGAUGCUUCGGGCGCGACCGCGGUCCAAGUCCCCUGGAACGGGGUGUCGUAGAGGGUGAGAAUCCCGUCUCGGCCGGCCGGUCUCGCCCGUGUGAAGCUCCUUCGACGAGUCGAGUUGUUUGGGAAUGCAGCUCCAAAUGGGUGGUAAAUUUCAUCUAAAGCUAAAUACUGGUCGGAGACCGAUAGCGCACAAGUAGAGUGAUCGAAAGAUGAAAAGCACUUUGAAAAGAGAGUUAAACAGCAUCGUGAAAUUGUUGAAAGGGAAGCGCUUGCGACCAGAGUCGGCCGCGGGGGUUCAGCGGGCAUUCGUUGCCCGUGCAAUCCCCCGCGGCCGGGCCAGCGUCGGUUUCGACGGCCGGUCAAAGGUCCCCGGAAUGUGUCGCCUCUCGGGGCGUCUUAUAGCCGGGGGUGCAAUGCGGCCAGUCGGGACCGAGGAACGCGCUCCGGCACGGACGCUGGCUU
rnacentral:rRNA from 1 species